rnacentral:rRNA from 1 species
AUUGAACGCUGGCGGCAGGCCUAACACAUGCAAGUCGAGCGGAGCGGCGGACGGGUGAGUAAUGUAUGGGGAUCUGCCCGAUAGAUGGGGAUAACUACUCGCAAGAGUGGCUAAUACCGCAUACUCUUGGAUCGGCCGACAUCGGAUUAGCUAGUUGGUGGGGUAAAGGGCCACCAAGGCAACGAUACGUAGCUGGGUUGAGAGGAUGACCCGCCACACUGGGACUGAGACACGGCCCAGACUCCUACGGGAGGCAGCAGUGGGGAAUUUGGGACAAUGGGGGAAACCCUGAUACAGCCAUCCCGCGUGUAUGAUGAAGGCCUUCGGGUUGGAAAGUACGUUUGGCAGAGAAGCGGUAUCUGCAGAAUAAGCACCGGCUAACUACGUGCCAGCAGCCGCGGUAAUUC